rnacentral:tRNA from 2 species
UCCUCAGUAGCUCAAUGGCAGAGCACUCGGCUGUUAACCGAGGGGUUGUUGGUUCGAGUCCAACCUGGGGAGCCA